rnacentral:ncRNA from 2 species
CUCGUCUCAUCGGGGUGCCUCGAUCCGUGCGCGGAUUCUGGCUGAGAGGCCUUCGGGCUAACCCGCGAACCUGAUCCGGAUCAUGCCGGCGGAGGGAUUGAGCCAAGCGCGGCC